rnacentral:rRNA from 1 species
AUGCCUAAGACAUGCAAGUCGGACGGGCUGUUUUAUGCAGCCAGUGGCGGACGGGUGAGUAACACGUAGGUGACCUACCCCAAAGUCUGGGACAACUACGAGAAAUCUUAGCUAAUCCUGGAUGUGGACACUCACCUUGGUGGGUGUCUAAAGCCUUCGGGCGCUUUGGGAUGGGCCUGCGGCGCAUCAGGUAGUUGGUGGGGUAAUGGCCUACCAAGCCGACGACGCGUAGCUGGUCUGAGAGGACGAUCAGCCACAGGGGUACUGAGACACGGACCCCACUCCUACGGGAGGCAGCAGUUAGAAUCUUCCGCAAUGGGCGAAAGCCUGACGGAGCGAUACCGCUUGAAGGACGAAUCCCUUCGGGGUGUAAACUUCUGAACUCGGGACGAUUAUGACGGUACCGAGGUAAUAGCACCGGCUAACUCCGUGCCAUCAGCCGCGGUAAUACGGAGGGUGCGAGCGUUACCCGGAUUUACUGGGUGUAAAGGGCGUGUAGUCGGUCUCUCAAGUCCGAUGCUAAAGACCGGGGCUCAACCCCGGGGGUGCGUUGGAUACUGUGAGGCUAGACGGUCGGAGAGGGUAGCGGAAUUUCCGGAGUAGCGGUGAAAUGCGCAGAUACCGGAAGGAACGCCGAUCGCGAAAGCAGCUACCUGGACGAUUUGUGACGCUGAUGCGCGAAAGCGUGGGGAGCAAACCUGAUUAGAUACCCGGGUAGUCCACGCCCUAAACGAUGAGUGCUGGGUGUCCGACAUCUGUUGGGUGCCGUAGCUCAACGCGUUAAGCACUCCACCUGGGAAGUACGGUCGCAAGACUGAAACUCAAAGGAAUUGACUGGGGCUCGCACAAGCGGUGUAGCAUGUGGUUUUAUUCGAAGCAACGCGCAGAACCUUACCAGGUCUUGACAUCCUGGGAACCCUGGUGAAAGCCGGGGGUGCCCGCAAGGGAGCCCAGAGACAGGUGCUGCAUGGUUGUCGUCAGCUCGUGUCGUGAGAUGUUGGGUUAAGUCCCGCAACGAGCGCAACCCCUGUUGCUAGUUUCCAUCAGUUCGGCUGGGCACUCUAGCGAGACUGCCUACGAAAGUAGGAGGAAGGCGGGGAUGACGUCUGAUCCGCAUGGCCCUUACGACCUGGGCGACACACGUGCUACAAUGCCUGCCACAAAGCGCUGCGACCCGGUAACGGGAAGCCAAUCGCACAAAAGCAGGCUCAGUUCGGAUUGGGGUCUGCAACUCGACCCCAUGAAGCCGGAAUCGCUAGUAAUCGCGGAUCAGCCAUGCCGCGGUGAAUACGUUCCCGGGCCUUGUACACACCGCCCGUCAAGCCAUGGGAGUGGGUUUUGCCUGAAGUCGCCGGGAGCCACAGGCAGGCGCCUAGGGUAAGGCUCAUGACUGGGGCUAAGUCGUAAGAAGGUAGCUGUA